rnacentral:lncRNA from 1 species
GAUGGUAAAGACCAGUUGGUUGGAUGGUAGGGUUCCAGUUGGUAGGUUCCGUUGGUUGGAUGGUAAAAGGUUCCAGUUGGUAUGGAUGGUAAAGACAGUUGGUAUGGAUGGUAAAGACAGGUUCCAGUUGGUAUGGAUGGAAAGACAAUUGGUAAGGGUGGGUAAAGACAGGGUUCCAGUUGGUAUGGAUGUGUUCCAGUUGGUAUGGAUGGUAAAGACAGGUUCCAGUUGGUAGGGAUGGUAAAGACAGUUCCAGUUGGUAUGGAUGGUAAGACGGUUCAGUUGGUUGGAUGUAAAGACAGGUUCCAGUUGGUAGGAGGGUAAAGACAGGUUCCAGUGGAUGGAUGGUAAAGACAGGUCCAGUUGGUAUGGAUGGUAAAGACCAGUUGGUAUGGAUGGUAAAGACAGGUUCCAGUUGGUAUGGAUGGUUCCGU